GGUUAUGGCUCAGUGGUAGAGCACUUGCCUAUCUCAUGUGAGGCACUGGGUUCGAUUCUCAGCACCA
rnacentral:tRNA from 1 species